rnacentral:rRNA from 1 species
GGUUAAGUUAAUAAGGGCGCACGGUGGAUGCCUUGGCACUAGAAGCCGAAGAAGGACGUGACAAACGACGAAAUGCUUUGGGGAGCUGUAAGUAAGCGCUGAUCCAGAGAUGUCCGAAUGGGGGAACCCACUAACUAAUGGUUAGUAUCCAUAACUGUUAAGGUUAUGAGAAGGAAGACGCAGUGAACUGAAACAUCUAAGUAGCUGCAGGAAGAGAAAGCAAACGCGAUUGCCUUAGUAGCGGCGAGCGAAACGGCAGGAGGGCAAACCGAAGUGUUUACACUUCGGGGUUGUAGGACUGCGACGUGGGACUUUAAAAGGAUAGAAGAAUUACCUGGGAAGGUAAGCCAAAGAGAGUAAAAGCCUCGUAUUUAAAAUUCUUUUGAGCCCUAGCAGUAUCCUGAGUACGGCGAGACACGUGAAAUCUCGUUGGAAUCUGGGAGGACCAUCUCCCAACCCUAAAUACUCUCUAGUGACCGAUAGUGAACCAGUACCGUGAGGGAAAGGUGAAAAGCACCCCGGGAGGGGAGUGAAAUAGAACCUGAAACCGUGUGCCUACAACAAGUUCGAGCCCGUUAAUGGGUGAGAGCGUGCCUUUUGUAGAAUGAACCGGCGAGUUACGAUAUGAUGCGAGGUUAAGUUGAAGAGACGGAGCCGUAGGGAAACCGAGUCUUAAUAGGGCGAUUUAGUAUCAUGUUGUAGACCCGAAACCAUGUGACCUACCCAUGAGCAGGUUGAAGGUGAGGUAAAACUCACUGGAGGACCGAACCAGGGCACGUUGAAAAGUGCUUGGAUGACUUGUGGGUAGCGGAGAAAUUCCAAACGAACUUGGAGAUAGCUGGUUCUCUCCGAAAUAGCUUUAGGGCUAGCGUCGAUGUUAAGUCUCUUGGAGGUAGAGCACUGUUUGGGUGAGGGGUCCAUCUCGGAUUACCAAUCUCAGAUAAACUCCGAAUGCCAACGAGAUAUCAUCGGCAGUCAGACUGCGAGUGCUAAGAUCCGUAGUCGAAAGGGAAACAGCCCAGACCACCAGCUAAGGUCCCAAAAUAACUGUUAAGUGGAAAAGGAUGUGGGGUUGCACAGACAACUAGGAUGUUAGCUUAGAAGCAGCUAUUCAUUCAAAGAGUGCGUAAUAGCUCACUAGUCGAGUGACCCUGCGCCGAAAAUGUACCGGGGCUAAAACAGUUUACCGAAGCUGUGGAUGACACAAAAGUGUCAUGGUAGGAGAGCGUUCUAUGUGUGAAGAAGGUGUACCGUGAGGAGCGCUGGAACGCAUAGAAGUGAGAAUGCCGGUAUGAGUAGCGAAAGACAGGUGAGAAUCCUGUCCACCGUAAGACUAAGGUUUCCAGGGGAAGGCUCGUCCGCCCUGGGUUAGUCGGGACCUAAGGAGAGACCGAAAGGUGUAUCCGAUGGCCAACAGGUUGAUAUUCCUGUACUAGAGUAUAUAGUGAUGGAGGGACGCAGUAGGCUAACUAAACCGGACGAUUGGAAGAGUCCGGCUAAGCAGUGAGGUGUAAGAUGAGUCAAAUGCUUAUCUUUAUAACAUUGAGCUGUGAUGGGGAGCGAAUUUUAGUAGCGAAGUUAGUGAUGUCACACUGCCAAGAAAAGCUUCUAGCGUUUAAUGAUACUCUACCCGUACCGCAAACCGACACAGGUAGUCGAGGCGAGUAGCCUCAGGUGAUCGAGAGAACUCUCGUUAAGGAACUCGGCAAAAUGACCCCGUAACUUCGGGAGAAGGGGUGCUGACUUAGGUCAGCCGCAGUGAAUAGGCCCAAGCAACUGUUUAUCAAAAACACAGCUCUCUGCUAAAUCGUAAGAUGAUGUAUAGGGGGUGACGCC